rnacentral:rRNA from 1 species
GUGCAGCAGUCGCGAAAACUCCGCAAUACGCGAAAGCGUGACGGGGCUACCCCGAGUGUCGUCCGCUGAGGACGACUUUUCCACGCUGUAAGGAGGCGUGGGAAUAAGGAGAGGGCAAGUCUGGUGUCAGCCGCCGCGGUAAUACCAGCUCUCCGAGUGGUAGGGACGAUUAUUGGGCUUAAAGCGUCCGUAGCCGGCUCAGCAAGUCUCUUGUUAAAUCCAGCGAUUCAAUCGUUGGACUGCGGGAGAUACUGGUAGGCUAGAGGGCGGGAGAAGCCGACGGUAUUUCCGGGGUAGAGGUACAAUCCUAUAAUCCCGGGAAGAGCACCAGUGGCGUAGGCGGUCGGCUAGCACGCGCUCGACAGUGAGGGACGAAAGCUGGGGUAGCGAAACCGAUUAGAUACCCGUGUAGUCC